CAGUAACGGCGAGUGAAGCGGCAACAGCUCAAAUUUGAAAUCUGGCUCCUUCGGGGUCCGAAUUGUAAUUUGUAGAGAGUGCUUCGGGCGAGACCUCGGUCUAAGUCCAUUGGAACAUGGUGUCAUAGAGGGUGAGAAUCCCGUAUGCGACCGUGGCUCGAGCCCAUGUGAAGCCUCUUCGACGAGUCGAGUUGUUUGGGAAUGCAGCUCAAAACGGGUGGUAAAUUUCAUCUAAAGCUAAAUACUGGCUGGAGACCGAUAGCGCACAAGUAGAGUGAUCGAAAGAUGAAAAGCACUUUGGAAAGAGAGUCAAACAGUACGUGAAAUUGUUGAAAGGGAAGCGCUUGCAACCAGACCUGCCCGUAGGCGAUCAGCCGCUGUUCUCAGCGGUGUAUUCGCUCUGCGAUCAGGCCAGCAUCGGUUUCGGCGGUCGGAUAAAGGCCUUGGGAAUGUAGCUCCCCUUCGGGGGAGUCUUAUAGCCCUCGGUGUAAUGCGGCCAGCCGGGACCGAGGACCGCGCUUCGGCUAGGAUGCUGGCGUAAUGGUUGUAAGCGACCCGUCUUGAAACACGGACCAAGGAGUCUAACAUCUAUGCGAGUGUUUGGGUGUCAAACCCAUACGCGGAAUGAAAGUGAACGGAGGUGAGAACCCUUAAGGGCGCAUCAUCGACCGAUCCAGAUGUCUUCGGAUGGAUUUGAGUAUGAGCAUAGCUGUUGGGACCCGAAAGAUGGUGAACUAUGCCUGAAUAGGGUGAAGCCAGAGGAAACUCUGGUGGAGGCUCGCAGCGGUUCUGACGUGCAAAUCGAUCGUCAAAUUUGGGUAUAGGGGCGAAAGACUAAUC
rnacentral:rRNA from 1 species